AGUGAACGCUGGCGGUAGGCCUAACACAUGCAAGUCGAACGGCAGCACAGUAAGAGCUUGCUCUUACGGGUGGCGAGUGGCGGACGGGUGAGGAAUACAUCGGAAUCUACUUUUUCGUGGGGGAUAACGUAGGGAAACUUACGCUAAUACCGCAUACGACCUACGGGUGAAAGCAGGGGAUCUUCGCACCUUGCGCGAUUGAAUGAGCCGAUGUCGGAUUAGCUAGUUGGCGGGGUAAAGGCCCACCAAGGCGACGAUCCGUAGCUGGUCUGAGAGGCUGAUCGGCCACACUGGAACUGAGACACGGUCCAGGCUCCUACGGGAGGCAGCAGUGGGGAAUAUUGGACAAUGGGCGGAAGCCUGAUCCAGCCAUACCGCGUGGGUGAAGAAGGCCUUCGGGUUGUAAAGCCCUUUUGUUGGGAAAGAAAAGCAGCAGGUUAAUACCCCGCUGUUCUGACGGUACCCAAAGAAUAAGCACCGGCUAACUUCGUG
rnacentral:rRNA from 1 species